UCCCAGCCCCCGUGGGCAUCUCCGCAGGGGAGCCCGAAGAGGCCGGCGGGCUCUCUUCUGGACCCCCGGCCUCUCCCUCAGAGUGGCCGUGGCCUCUCCCAGGCCUCGGUGAGCGAGCUGUUGGGCUCCCUCCGGAAUGCUGGGAUCCAACCCCCGGGGCGGAAUGGAAGCCGCGGGAGGGCAGGGCAGCCCCUGCCUCCGCAGCCCGGCCGGCCGCCCCUGGGCCCAUGCUCUGGCUGCCUUCCCCAGUGACCCUCCCCUCCCACAGCCGCCGGCCCGUCUCAGGGAGCACCUGCGCUUCCCGUUCUGGGAAAGGGCCCAGCAGGGAUUCGUCAGAACAGGCCGGACCACAAACCUCCCGGGGCAAGCACGUCCUUGGUGCUGACAGAAGGAGCCCCAGGGCCCAGAGGGAAGCGCCCAGAGGGAAGCGAGCCUACUGACUGCCUAAGUGCUGGGCUGGGGGCCUCCCUCAGCAAAGGCCCCCAUCCUCCCCGCUGGGAAAAGGAACGUCGGGAUGUCCUCGGAUCCAGCAAAACUCAUCCUGACAUUGUACCCUGGAACUUUCAAGGGGGGAAUUUUACAGAAAGCAGGUCGUGGUAAGAAGCCCCCGGGGACAGGGGCGUCAGGCUGACCUACAAGUGCCUUCUACGAAGCUGCCCCCUGCGCCUCAGGAAGCAGCCCCUCCUCCUCCGUCACCCUGCGACCUGGAGGGGUUUGCCCCUCAGCCUGGCAGCCCCUCUCAACAUCCCUGGACUAGGGAAGCCCACUUGGCUCAUGACCCCCCCGGCCUCCAUCUCCCCCAGGCGCAGGGGGAGCUAAAUACCCCUUUUUUCCCUGCUAUGCUAAGAGCCCUUUCGGGGGACUGAUAGAAAGCCGAGAAUGGGCCCGUCCGGCAGGGAUCCGCCGGCCAGGCCAGCAAAGCCCUCCACUUCCUCACCAGAGCUAAUCCGAUUAGCCACACGGCUCAGGGCGGCUUCUGGGCCCAGGACCUCAAAGAGAAACAAACAAAUGGGGACAGUCCAGCUCCCUGCCUAUUCCCAUUAAAGUUCAACUUUCAAUUUGUCAAGCAAGCAGAAAGAAGGGCUUAAAUAAAAGCAUCCUGCUCCUUUUCCCCCACAGAGUUCCCGCCCUCCUUCCCUUCUGGCUGGUUUUGUCCUUCACCUUUCAGAACAGGGCCGGGGCUGGGAGUCGGCCCAGGUGCAACGGGGCCUCCUGUUCUGAAGUCCAGCGGCACCCGGCCUUCCUUUCUCUGAGUCUCCAUUAUUCUAAGUCUCCUCAAUGGUUUCAAGUCCACCCUCUGUACCACAGCCAAUUUAAAAAAAAAAAAAAAAUUUUUUUUUAUUUUCAAAAUAUAUAGUUUUCAA